rnacentral:lncRNA from 1 species
GAGAGCAUGGGAAGCCCAGGAGCACAUGGGGACAGCAGGUCACUCUACAGACAUGAGGAAAGGUACAUCAGCACUUGGGGACCAAGACCUUUGUUGAGUGGAUAUUAUGCAGCAGGAAUUUGCAAAACUAAGCCAUGCCCUGAACCUGGAGGGGGAAGAUGGAGACUGGGCUCAGGUCCUAGGUCUGUCUGCCAGUGGGCACCGUGCUGGUUGCAGUGGAGACUGAGGCAGGUAAGGGAGGUUUGGAAAGGGUGGGCUUGAAGUCUGCUUGACAGGGUUAUGCCUCUAGUAAGAAGUGGGCAC